rnacentral:rRNA from 1 species
AUACUGCUGAGCUAGGGACCGGGAGAGGCCGAGGGUAUUCCCGGGGUAGGGGUGAAAUCCUGUAAUCCCGGGAGGACCACCUGUGGCGAAGGCGCUCGGCUGGAACGGGUCCGACGGUGAGGGACGAAGGCCUGGGGAGCUAACCGGAUUAGAUACCCGGGUAGUCCAGGCUGUAAACGAUGCGGGCUAGGUGUCACCGGAGCUACGAGCUCCGGUGGUGCCGGAGGGAAGCCGUUAAGCCCGCCGCCUGGGAAGUACGGCCGCAAGGCUGAAACUUAAAGGAAUUGGCGGGGGGGCACUACAACGGGUGGAGCCUGCGGUUUAAUUGGAUUCAACGCCGGGAAGCUUACCGGGGGAGACAGCGGGAUGAAGGUCGGGCUGAAGACCUUACCAGACUAGCUGAGAGGUGGUGCAUGGCCGCCGUCAGUUCGUACUGUGAAGCAUCCUGUUAUGUCAGGCAACGAGCGGGACCAGUGCCCUCAGUUGCCAGCGGGUCCCUUCGGGGACGCCGGGCACACUGAGGGGACUGCCGGCGCUAAGCCGGAGGAAGGUGCGGGCAGCGGCAGGUCCGUAUGCCCCGAAACCCCCGGGCUACACGCGGGCUACAAUGGCCGGGACAAUGUUUACCGGCCCCGAAAGGGGUGGGUAAUCUCCCAAACCCGGUCUAACCUGGGAUCGAGGGCUGCAACUCGCCCUCGUGAACCUGGAAUCCGUAGUAAUCGCGUCUC